rfam:Gorilla gorilla gorilla genomic chromosome, chr1, whole genome shotgun sequence
GCCGGGCAUGGUGGCAGGUGCCUGUAGUCCCAGCUACUUGGGAGGCUGAGGCAGAAGAAUGGUGUGAACCCAGGAGGUGGAGCUUGCAGUGAGCCGAGAUCGACACUGCACUCCAGCCUGGGUGACNNNNNNNNNNGUCACCCAGGCUGGAGUGCAGUGUCGAUCUCGGCUCACUGCAAGCUCCACCUCCUGGGUUCACACCAUUCUUCUGCCUCAG